rnacentral:misc_RNA from 1 species
AGCAGCCGCGGUAAUUCCAGCUCCAAUAGCGUAUAUUAAAGUUGUUGCAGUUAAAAAGCUCGUAGUUGAAUUUCGGGAUCAGUUGGUCGGUCGUGCCUCGGUACGUACUGGUCAAAUUGAUUCCUACCUUCUGACGAACCACGAUGUCAUUAAUUUGGUGUCGCGGGAAAUCAGGACUGUUACUUUGAAAAAUUAGAGUGUUUAAAGCAGGCUCGCGCUUGAAUACAUUAGCAUGGAAUAAUGAAAUAGGACGUUUGAUUCUAUUCUGUUGGUUUCUAGGAUCGACGUAAUGAUUAAUAGGGAUAGUUGGGGGCAUUAGUAUUCAAUUGUCAGAGGUGAAAUUCUUGGAUUUAUUGAAGACUAACUACUGCGAAAGCAUUUGCCAAGGAUGUUUUCAUUAAUCAAGAACGAAAGUUAGGGGAUCGAAGACGAUCAGAUACCGUCGUAGUCUUAACCAUAAACUAUGCCGACUAGGGAUCGGAUGAUGUUAAUUUUUAAUGACUCAUUCGGCGCCUUAACC